CCCGGGGCUCCGGCUCCCGGCGACCGCGGCGCGCUGCCUCCGCCGCCCGCUGCCAGCGGCGAGGACGGACGAGAAUUGGGGACUUGUUUGUUUGGGGUGGGGGUGGGGGGAGGAAAGAAAGAAAGGAAAGGAAAGGAAAAAGGAAAGGAGGGGGAGGGGGAGGGAGAGGCAACGCCGAGGAUCCCGAGAAUCUUGCACCAAACGCGCCCAACCUGGAGAGAGGGGGAAAAAUCCUUCCAGAAGAAUUUGCAGGCGUGGAUUGGGGUAAUUUUUUUUUUUUUUUUUUUUUUUGGCGAGAUGGCGUGGGGGGAUCGGAGUUAGAGGCGGGGGGGGGGGAGUUUCUUGGGGGAGGCAAAAAAAAGUUUUCUCUCCUCUGCAAAAGGCGGGCAGGGCGCCCUAAGUCCAAGGACAAUCCAUGGAAGUGUUCGCUUCUUCACAAGUUGUGCAAACGAUUUGUUAGUUCAUGAGCCUAAUUAGUGCGGGGAUCACAUAAACAGCUUCCUCCGAAGCCUGGUAAAUGGCUUGAUGAUUGGUCGCUAUUACUCGCCCUGAGGUGGAAGGGGGGAGACUCUUUAAAGUGCGUCAGAGGGAGGCAGGCGCCUGGGAACCCGGAGGCCUGGAUCCGGGCCGAGAGUGGAACGGACUCGGCGCCGCUGCCUCGGCUGUGCCUCCGGCGCCCGCCAGGCCGCCCGGCCUCUCCGCGCCCUCGUCCCGCGCUCCCGGCUCACUCGCUCCCGCGGCGCCCGCUGCAGCUUCUCCUCCGCCUCUUUCGCCGCCUCCUCUGCCUUCAGCUUCUUCUCUUCUUCCUCCUCCUCCUCUUCCUCCUUCUUCCUCUCCUCUUCUUCCUCCUCCUCUUUCCCCACCUCCUCUCCCUCAGCCACCGCCUCCUCCUCCACCGCCACCACUCCCUCCGGGGCACCCCGGUCCCUGCAGAGUCCCGGCCGGCGGCGCCUCGGCUGCAGCCCCCUGGAUCCUGAGCCUGCCGAGCCCGAGCUGGUAGGACAGACGGACAGACAGACACGCAGAUUCCUCGCGCCUAGCGCUCCGCCGCGGCCCCGGGUCAGGGGAGCUGGGAUCGCCCCCCGAGUACCGCGAGGAGAUGCUGUUCCAGAGAGGAAGCCGGGGCUGCAGUGCCACGAUGCUAAGACAUCUGGAAAAUGCUCUCAAAAACACAAGCCACUCUGGUAA
rnacentral:lncRNA from 1 species